rnacentral:rRNA from 1 species
UAGUCCACGCCGUAAACGAUCAUCACUCGCUGUUGGCGAUAUACUGUCAGCGGCCAAGCGAAAGUAUUAAGUGAUGCACCUGGGGAGUACGCCGGCAACGGUGAAACUCAAAGGAAUUGACGGGGGCCCGCACAAGCGGUGGAGCAUGUGGUUUAAUUCGAUGAUACGCGAGGAACCUUACCAGGGCUUAAAUGUAGUAUGACCGGCUUGGAAACAGGCCUUCUCUUCGGAGCAGAUUACAAGGUGCUGCAUGGUUGUCGUCAGCUCGUGUCGUGAGGUGUUAGGUUAAGUCCUGCAACGAGCGCAACCCCUAUUCUUAGUUGCCAGCGGUUCGGUUGGGAACUCUAACGAGACUGCCUACGCAAGUAGCGAGGAAGGCGGGGACGACGUCAAAUCAUCAUGGCCUUUAUGCCCAGGGCUACACACGUGCUACAAUGGCAGGUACAAUGGGUCGCCAACCCGCAAGGGGGAGCCAAUCCCAAAAAUCCUGUCCCAGUUCGGA